AACGAACGCUGGCGGCGUGGAUAAGACAUGCAAGUCGAACGGGAACUUCAGCUGUAGCAAUACAGUUGAAGUUUUAGUGGCGAACGGGUGCGUAACACGUGGGCAAUCUGCCGAGAAGUGGGGGAUAGCUCGCCGAAAGGCGAAUUAAUACCGCAUAUGAUCAGCUAAGACAUCUUAGCGACAUCAAAGCCGGGGCAACCUGGCGCUUUUUGAGGAGCCCGCGGCCUAUCAGCUAGUUGGUGAGGUAACGGCUCACCAAGGCUAUGACGGGUAGCUGGUCUGAGAGGACGACCAGUCACACCGGAACUGAGACACGGUCCAGACACCUACGGGUGGCAGCAGUCGAGAAUUUUUCUCAAUGGGGCAACCCUGAAGGAGCGACGCCGCGUGGAGGAUG
rnacentral:rRNA from 1 species